GCCUCGGUAGCGUAGUGGUCAAGACGCUCGCCUGGUAAACAGGAGGGCGUGGGUUCGAUCCCAGCCGAGGUA
rfam:Asian citrus Psyllid, Diaphorina citri - Florida Strain, whole genome shotgun sequence.